ACUCCUGCGGGAGGCAGCAGUGGGGAAUUUUGGACAAUGGGCGAAAGCCUGAUCCAGCAAUGCCGCGUGUGUGAAGAAGGCCUUCGGGUUGUAAAGCACUUUUGUCCGGAAAGAAAUCCUUGGCUCUAAUACAGUCGGGGGAUGACGGUACCGGAAGAAUAAGCACCGGCUAACUACGUGCCAGCAGCCGCGGUAAUACGUAGGGUGCGAGCGUUAAUCGGAAUUACUGGGCGUAAAGCGUGCGCAGGCGGUUUGCUAAGACCGAUGUGAAAUCCCCGGGCUCAACCUGGGAACUGCAUUGGUGACUGGCAGGCUAGAGUAUGGCAGAGGGGGGUAGAAUUCCACGUGUAGCAGUGAAAUGCGUAGAGAUGUGGAGGAAUACCGAUGGCGAAGGCAGCCCCCUGGGCCAAUACUGACGCUCAUGCACGAAAGCGUGGGGAGCAAACAGGAUUAGAAACCCCAGUAGUCCCAUGAU
rnacentral:rRNA from 1 species